UAUGACCAAAUUAUUGAGUUGUGAACUCCCUGGUCAAAACAUUCUAUCUUGCUUCAUGAAUUGAAACAACUGAUUCAUUGAAAAGAUCAGACUCAAAAGAAAAAAAAAAUAAUGAAUCGGACAUUGAUUCUUUCCUUAUGAACACAACAAGAAAAGCCAUGGCAAAUUUCAAGAUUUUCAAAAUUCACCUGUUGUGUGCCCAUGAAGAACACAGGUUAAAUAGCAUUUCUUUAACAGUCUCCAUGGCCUAUACAACACACCAGAUUCCAACCUCACACCCCUAAAGCCUGGAUCUGUAAUGGAUUUCAUAAUUAUCAGUAAGUCUGUUGAUGUAUGCUGACCACUGAUCUACAUCUAAAAAUAGCAGCACAGUCACUGAAUUGAACCGCAUCAGAAAUGUAAAAAAAAAAAAAAAAAGUUACAAUAGAAUCAUAUCUUCAUUACACAACAAUGUAAUAUCGUGAUUUGAAACAGUUGAUCUGUCAGUUUAUCUGAAAUGCAUGCUCAGUUAAUGCCUCAGUGUAAUUUUGCUUUAAUCAGUCCAAGUUCAGUAAAGCUUACUGGAUUAAACCAUUCCCAGAACUACACAUUAAAAGACUAAUAGAGUCCCUCAUUUGCCAUCUACUGUAUAUUGGCUUGAUUAUUUAUUCGGCGUGUUCUCACCAGCCCUCGGGACGAGCUCAGUAAAUCUGACAUCCACGUAUCGCUGCAGUACAGGUUUAUUCACUAAUAACAGAUGGAUUGUGCUUGACCUUCAGUCGACAUUAUUCUGGAGAGGGUUGUGUGUUCUCUGGCGUGUUUGCCUGAUGUUCGACAAUAAACCAGUCAGCUGAGACCGUAAA